AUCAGGAGACUGAGCCUCACUCAGGGACGGCCCCCAGCACUGUGCCCUGACAGGCCCUUGUGGACAGAAAGGGACAGGGCAUGGCCUCGCUUGGACCCCCUGGGUUUGCUGUGGCGCCAGCUGGGCUCCAGGGUGCCAUCAGCCAUUUCCAGUUCCCUCAUGACCUGGGUGGGGACUAUCACCUCUACCUGUGCAGUGAGCACACCAGCGUCAGGGACACUGUUUCUAGAGCCUGUCUGACUCCCCUCCCCCAGCCCAAUUGAUUGUCUAUCCUGGUUGCCAGGCACUUGCGAGCAUUAGAUACGGAACACUCCGCAGGGUUCCGAGUGGUCAGUUGUGACCCAGAGGCCAUUGGAAAGCAGAAGUAGAGUCACAGAGGGGCUGCUGGUCUCCAAAAUGUCUCUCGAGUCACACUGGAGCUGCUGGGGCCUGCUGCGCUGGUGAUGGCUGAGAGCAUGAGAUAAGCCCUGGAGGUCCCUGGGCAUCCCUCAGAGGUCCAUGGCAAAGGUGGGACACCCACGGGAAUAAAGAGACAGGCUGAGGAAGCCCUCAAGUCACCCUUCAUGGAAGCCUGACCUUGAAUGUUAUCAUCCCUCUGCUUAAUAGCCCUUAAUAAAAAUCUGAGCAGGUGUCUGCAGGACACAGGACGCUUUCCGGAAAAAGCAUGGAAAAAAAGUCCAGAAGUGCUCCACCAAAAAAUUGCGAGAUGGAAGCAGAGAGUACAGGAAAGGAAGGAGGAGAAAGAAAGGCUGGAACUUUUGAAUGCACAAAUAAAGCAGGCAGUGAAAGAUCUCAUGAGCCGAUUAAAAUCUAUGGCUGAAAAUCUGCCGGACACCAUGCAGUUGAGAGAUUUCCCUAGAGACCACAGUGAUGAGAGGAACUUGGAAGCAGAGCAAAGGAGGAAAGCAGGAAAAGAAGAACCACCCCACACACACUUAAGAAUCAAGUAA
rnacentral:lncRNA from 13 species